rnacentral:misc_RNA from 1 species
CUGACGGGUCAUCCUAAACCUAGGUUUAGAGCCCGCUGGGAUAGACACCCUUGAUUUUGAGUACCUUUUCGUUUCCUCGGCGGGUUCGCUCGCCGGUGGACAACUAAAACUCUUUGUAAUAGCAGUAUCUUCUGAGAAAAACAAAUAGUCA